rnacentral:lncRNA from 1 species
AUGGGUACUAAGGGCGCAAUAUUCUCCAUUACCAAAACGCAGCGCAGCACGUAGGGACUAAAUUGUAGGGCGAGAAAAUAUUUAGGGCCAAAUUAAAAAUAGCAAAAAAAACCUGAUUGUGAAAUAGCAAAAAUGCGGAAGGGCUGAUCGCGUAAUUAGCCCUUCCGUUUCAAAAACACGCGGACCCUGGCCGGACGGUUCGGGUCGACCCGACCCGAAUCCUUAAACGGCGUCGUUUAGUUUAAACAGAGGGGGUCCAAAACGGUUUGUUUUGGACCCCUAUAUAAGUCAAAAAUUUUUUUUAAAAGUUCAUUUGAAACGGGGAAAGAAAAAAAAAGAAAAGAAGAGGGAGAGAAGAGGAAGAGAGGGGGGGAAGGAAGGGAUUCCGGUCACCGGACGGCCACCGGGGGCUCGCCGGCGCCGGCCACCGCGAAAGGUAUGAAAUUUUUUUAUUUUUUAUUUUUAGUUCUUUUUUCCUAAAGUAUAUGCAUGCGAUGGAUUUAAAGAUUAAAAAGCAAAAAUCACCUUGAACCCUGUUUUGGUAUUCUGUUUUUUUUGGAUUUUGUCGAUUCGGGGUUUUCCCUUCGCUGCGAUAUCACUGUGACUGUAUCUAUAAUUUUAGUGUUUUUGUUCUUAGAGUAAUGAAAAUGUGAAAACUUGCUUCUAUAUAUCAGGAUCCGGGGUCCUUUUACAAAAAUUCAAUCGGCUUAUAUAGUCAUUCUUUUUACAAGUUGUUCUCUAUACUUUUAGCUUUCUGUCUCGUCCGUUCAAUGUGUUGCAGGGACUUUAGGCGGUGCUGAGAUAUUGUGGGGGUUCGGUCGGCCUUGGCAGAGGCAAGUGGCGGGUUAGGGUGGCUGAAAGUCAAAAGCUGAAGACCCUAGGUGGGGCACACCUAGGGUUUGGUUGCUGACUUGAGAGGGAUGGGCUAGGGUUUGAUGAUAGGUGGCAUUUGGGUCUGUUUGUUGGGCUAGAAUUUGGGCUGUUAGUUGGGUGGGUAGGUUUAGUUUUUUUGUUUGAAGAUGGGUUAAAUGGGUAAUUGGGUUGUAAGUGGGUCUUAGGGGGAUUAGUGGGUUUAAUUGCACUUGGGCCCGGGUAAUUUGGGCUUCUACAGUAACUCUUUUAUUUUUUUUCAAAUUAAUAUUAUAUUUUACUAUAGAUAACAAUAUUUUAGAAAGAAUGAAGCAUUAAUGUAAUAGUUUUUCGAAAAUGAAAUAUUAAGUCAUAUUCGAACGAUAAUGAGACCGGAGUUAUAUAUAUAUAAGAUCAUUUUAAUUGAUAAUGAAGUAAUAUAAUAUAAUAUAAUGUUAUUGUUUUUAUUUUUAUUUUUUUGUAAGUUAUUUAUAUUAUGUGAAGUAAAGACUAUUUUAUACUUCAUUAUUAAUACCUUAUAAGAUUUCAAUAAUUCAUUAUUAUUAAUAGUGAUUAUUGCUCUAAUGCAA